rnacentral:rRNA from 1 species
AAACUCCGCAAUGCACGAAAGUGUGACGGGGCUACCCCGAGUGCCAUCCGCUGAGGAUGGCUUUUCCUUGGUAUAACUAGCCGAGGGAAUAAGGAGAGGGCAAGACUGGUGUCAGCCGCCGCGGUAAUACCAGCUCUCCGAGUGGUAGGGAUGAUUAUUGGGCUUAAAGCGUCCGUAGCCGGCUUAGCAAGUCUCCUGUUAAAUUCAGCGACCUAAUCGUUGAUCCGCGGGAGAUACUACUAGGCUAGGAGGCG